rnacentral:rRNA from 1 species
UGUGUAGGCGGAAAUCCAAGCGUUUUGUGAAAUCCCUCGGCUUAACCGAGGAAUUGCUUGGCGAACUGGAUUUCUUGAGGCAGAUAGGGGUGUGUGGAACUCUUGGUGGAGCGGUGGAAUGCGUAGAUAUCAAGAGGAACGCCAAUGGUGAAGACAGCACACUGGGUCUGUUCUGACGCUGAGACACGAAAGCGUGGGGAGCGAACAGGAUUAGAUACCCUGGUAGUCC